rnacentral:hammerhead_ribozyme from 1 species
AUCCAGCUGACGAGUCCCAGAUAGGACCCGUCCUGGAU